rnacentral:lncRNA from 1 species
AUGGCCGUUGGCACCUAUGCAAAUUGGGUGUCACAUGCGUCUGUUCAUUCUGGGAGUGUAUUGCACCUUCUUUGCACUGGUGCAAAGUGUUGGGCAUUGGGGAGUCAGGCCCAGAAGCCCAGAGUGACAUUGGCUUCUGUCUUUUCAGACUCAUCUCUGCAGUUGCCCCAGCGUUGCUUCAGACUGACAGAGCAUCCUCACAGAGGAGUCCCCUUCGCGGAGUGCAAUGUUCAGAGCAAGAGGAGGUGGUUGCAGUGCUGUCCACGAGGCCCAAGGAGACUCUCCCUGGCCUUCAGUCGGUGGGACUGUAAAGGAGCAGAAAGAUUGAGCGCUGGUGGUAGUGUUUGGGGUGGUACUACUGAGAGGAGAUGGCACUGUCGACAGAAAGCAACAAGAGCAAUGCUCAGAGAUCAGCUCUGGGGCUCCUGGGUGAAAUGUGGUGCUCUUUCUGUGAACAAACCAAAGGAAGUAACUCUUCAUGCAAUGUGUAGUUAGCUGUGGAGCUCCUUGCUACAGGAUUUUGCAGAUGCUGGAAGUUUACCUGGGAAGACUGGAUAAAUUCAUGGAAGAGUAAUCUAUUGAAGGUAUUGAAUGUGUAAAAAACCUCUCUGGCUCAGGAUGUCCUUGGGCUACUGGGAGAUUGAGUCUGGGAGAUUAUUUGAGGGAAGUAUUAUAUGCUUCCUUUGUCCUCGUAUUCUUCCCUAGGCAUCCAUUUAUGGCCAUUCUUGGAGACAAUAAGUGGCCUGAGCUAAUGGUCCUGUGGUCUGACUGUAGCUGUUUUGAUGUGUACAUGAACACUAAUCCUGCUCCUGCUGNNNNNNNNNNNNNNNGUUGAAUUCACAUUGCGGAUGCAAGCCUUUUAAACAGAUUGUAAAUGAGCGAAGUCUGAUCCCGUGCAAUACAAAAUGCUUGCUGUCUUUCUCUGAGUCAGAGCAAGGGGCUUGAAAGUAUUUACUACCUCAGAAGAGCUGCUCAGCAAACUACAAGCUUUCAAUUAAUGCCUGGGAUGUCUGAAUUGAUUCAAUGAAAGCAAAUUCCCCAGCAGACCCUGAUAAGUUGAACUUGAGAACUUAGCAGGAAGUUGUCUCUUGGGGUUUUCCAGCCCAGAACUUUUUGGCUAUGAAAAGCUGGGGCAGUUGGGGAACAUAAUAGCAGCAUUAAUGUAGCUGACAUUUUGAUUUUUCUUUUUGAAAAAAGUCUGAAUUCAGAAACUUAAAGUACACUUGUGAUAUUCAGUCAAAGGGAAUUCAAAAAAUCUCUCUGUGAAAACUGUCUUUGUUGCAUGUAAAUGUGGGUGGCUGUAAAGAGCUUGUUUUUCUCUCAACAAACUGAGCCUGACUAAUUCUUAGUGGAAUUCUCCUGAUCUUAAUGAAGAUAGAACAGAAGUUAAUUUGUCCCUUUUCCUCCCUUUAUGGGUAAGAAAAGCAUCUGGCAUCCUCUCUCCCAUUUCCUUAUGUUAUUUUUAUAUUUUUGAUUAAUAACACUCUUUGAUCGA